UCGUUUUAUUCAAAAUUGCCUAUGGAUAACACUGUAUGACGUCGGUUUCUUUUUUGUCAAUACUUUAAGCAAAAUUAGACCACAUUACACGCUGCCGCUAUUAAGAUAACAUACAUGUACAGUUCAUCAUUAACAUCUUGAUGUUUUGCUUUUUUCUAAGAGUCAUUUAAAUAUAUCUGUCUAAAAAACUCGCUAACAUUUUGCUUCUUAUGUUGUGAGAUUAUUCCAUUAGUUUAGAC
rnacentral:lncRNA from 1 species